rnacentral:lncRNA from 1 species
AUGAAGUCCUGCAGAUGUGGCCACAGAACCCGGGCUCUUCUCUCUUCCGGGAGGGAUAAGCCAGGUUCGGAGUCUAACUUCUCAUGUGAAUGGAGCCUCUUCCAGGACAGUACUUUGUCCACUCCUCCUUUUCGGCCAUGUAAUCGGUUUCCUCCUUGGCCUUUCCUUUGGAACUCAAACCCUUUCCCACCCAUAGGUGGUAAUUCAGUCAUGUUUCAACUUAAGCCGUGUCAGGCACUGGCUGCUCCGGGGAACAAAACCCAACAGCCGAUGCCCUACUCUAGUGGUCUGCUGCAGGGGCUGCUUAACCAUGGAACGUUGUCCCCGCACAUGAUGUUACCCAGCAGCACAGCACUGAGUUGUCAGAGUGCAUCAACCUAAAAUUGUCAGGAGGCAGUAGUAAGCAGGGGUGUUUAUUUGGGAUCAAGGAAUUGCAAUUUGGGGUAUACCGAUUUGGGUAGCAUCCCAAGUAGUGUCCCACUAGGGGGCAAAAACCAGAGGAUUUUUUUGAGCGAAUAGAUCUUGUCUACGAAGAGUUCUCAUUGGUGUUGGCGGCAGACAACUAAUCUUGGCAGAACAUAAUGGGUUGUUAAGGCUGUCCCCUGGAAGGCGAAAGCUUGUCACUGUAGCAAGUUGCAGGCCCCAGCAGAGUCCUUGGGAGUAUCUGCAGUUUAGCCCAGUUCACGGCCCCACCUGGUGAGGAUGUGCCUGAGGCCCACCUCCUUAAUGGCCUCCCGGCUCCAUUUUAUUUCACCUUUGACAAGUACGUUCUAGAGCUUUCAGUCCAGGACUCUGGGCUUUCCCAUAAAUAGCAAAGACAUAGUUGGGAAUGCUUGUUCACGGGACUGGAUGCGCCCAACUAACAAAGUUGAAAGCAGGGUUAUAACCAUGGUGCAGAAGAAGCCAUGUUCCUGACUAAAUGUAUAAACGACACCGAAGGAAGCACCGAGCGCAUUCUGUCUCUGAAGCAUGGUUUGGAAGUCUCACUACCAAGAGCCAGCAGUUCGUUUGUGGCAAUUCUAGCUUUCUGCAGUGCUUUCUAGUGGUGAGCACUUUGGUGUGCUAUAGAGCUCUUGGAUACUUGAAUUAUUAAAAAUUCAUGUGGUGGACUCAGGCUUAUGGCUCCUCUCAUUUGGAUGCUGCAUAGUCAAUUGUUUAAGUUCCAAGAAGUCUAUCCCCUGUUAAGUAGAACUGUGUAACUUUCCGCUGGUUCGCAGGUGAACAGUGGUCCUGAAAUAGAGGAGUCCGUGAGCUUGCUCCAGCCCCCACUGAGUCCUGGGAUCCUCACUAGAUCCACAAGACUGAGGAACGGGAG